AUGGGCAACCUUUCCAUGCAGAGCAUAUUUGACUAUAGCAGAGGAGGAUGGAUCCAGGACCGACCGUUGUGGAUUCGCCGCCUCACUAAUGUCGGUCUUGUGCUUGCGUGGGGUUCUUCUUCACCCAGUACCAACACCGUUGAUGGCAGUGAAAACCAGCUGCUACAUAUGCUGAUCAUUGGCCGGCUUUUUGGUUCCCAUGCCUGUGCGAUGCCGACGCCAGUGGUGCUGUACGGCCUCGGCUACAGCCAUUCUGGAACUAGCUAUGGCGGUGGCUGCGGAUUUGCCACUUCAACAAGGUUUCGUCCCUCCCUGGUUUGCACAAGCUCCGCCAGGCAGCUGCAGAUCCCGUACGACCACGGCCCGCACCCCGGAAGCUUCACCCGUCUGCAACAAUUUCUGGAUCAAAGUAAUGUCGAGUUGAGCACUGAGCACUUUGCUCUUGUUAUCUCAGGAUUGUUGCUUAAUCCCGGGCUGCUCUACCUUGAAGGAAAAGGGCUGCUGAUCGGGAACCAGCCAUUGGUGUACCUCAAUAAGGUCACAGGAGUCGCCGCCAAGCCUGAGUCCAUGGAGCCCUGCUCCGGCUUCAAGGAGAGAUUUGUUAUGUGUGUUGUCCUUGUGCAGGAGAAGGGGUUCAUCGAGCCAGACAAGGUGCGCGGUGGUAGGCUCGGUCUCCAGCCUCAGCGUCUUCUGUUGGCCCCUUUGCCAUGUGGCACCAACGGUGCUGUUCAGAGUCGGCUACAAAACUGGCAUGGUGAGCUCCUCUCUUUCCUCUGCUCCUCGCCUCUUGUUGCUCUGAGCUUGUGCCCAUCGAGCCAUAGCUACGCCAUGCUAGGAUUUGGCCUCUAA
rnacentral:rRNA from 1 species